rnacentral:rRNA from 1 species
AAUGCGAUAAGUAAUGUGAAUUGCAGAAUUCAGUGAAUCAUCGAAUCUUUGAACGCACCUUGCGCUCCUUGGUAUUCCGAGGAGCAUGCCUGUUUGAGUGUCAUGA